rnacentral:rRNA from 1 species
AGCGAACGCUGGCGGCAGGCCUAACACAUGCAAGUCGAACGAACUCUUCGGAGUUAGUGGCGGACGGGUGAGUAACACGUGGGAACGUGCCUUUUAGUUCGGAAUAACUCAGGGAAACUUGUGCUAAUACCGAAUGUGCCCUUCGGGGGAAAGAUUUAUCGCCAUUAGAGCGGCCCGCGUCUGAUUAGCUAGUUGGUGAGGUAACGGCUCACCAAGGCGACGAUCAGUAGCUGGUCUGAGAGGAUGACCAGCAACACUUGGACUGGGACACGGCCCAGACUCCUACGGGAGGCAGCAGUGGGGGAUCUUGCGCAAUGGGGGGAAGGCUGACGCAGCCAUGCCGCGUGAAUGAUGAAGGUCUUAGGAUUGUAAAAUUCUUUCAACGGGGAAGAUAAUGACGGUACCCGGAGAAGAAGCCCCGGCUAACUUCGUG